AGCAGUCGCCACGGUAAUACGAAGGGGGCUAGCGUUGCUCGGAAUUACUGGGCGUAAAGGGAGCGUAGGCGGGUCGUUUAGUCAGAGGUGAAAUCCCGGGGCUCAACCUCGGAACUGCCUUUGAUACUGGCGACCUUGAGUAUGGGAGAGGUAAGCGGAACUCCGAGUGUAGAGGUGAAAUUCGUAGAUAUUCGGAAGAACACCAGUGGCGAAGGCGGCUUACUGGCCCAUUACUGACGCUGAGGCUCGAAAGCGUGGGGAGCAAACAGGAUUAGAUACCCGUGUAGUCCCUGUCUCUUAUAC
rnacentral:rRNA from 1 species